GAGACGCUGGCGGCGUGGAUUAGGCAUGCAAGUCGAACGGUAUGGACCUUUCGGGGUUCAGAGAGUGGUCGAACGGGUGAGUAACACGUAGGUAAUCUACCCUCAAGACGGGGACAACCCAGGGAAACUUGGGCUAAUACCGGAUGUGUGUAGUUGGCUAUUUUUCUGAUUAUCCUUAUUUACGUAAGUGAGUAAUAAUAAGAAGGGAAAGUGGUUAUUACAUAAAAGGUGGCGUAAGCUGCCGCUUGGGGGAUGAGCCUGCGUCCUAUUAGUUAGUUGGUGAGGUAACGGCUUACCAAGGCGAUGAUAGGUAGGCGGCCUUAACGGGUGGUCGCCCACACUGGGAUUGAGAUACGGCCCAGACUCCUACGGGAGGCAGCAGUCGAGAAUAGUCUACAAUGGACGGAAGUCUGAUAGUGCGACGCCGCGUGAACGAAGAAUCCCUUCGGGGUGUAAAGUUCUUUUAUACGUGAGCAGUGUCCUUUAUAUUAAUAGUAUAAGGGGAGAGAUAUUAGCGUAUGAAUAAGCAACGGCUAACUCCGUG
rnacentral:rRNA from 1 species